AUGAACGCUGGCGGCGUGCCUAAUACAUGCAAGUCGAGCGAACAGAUGAGGAGCUUGCUCCUCUGACGUUAGCGGCGGACGGGUGAGUAACACGUGGAUAACCUACCUAUAAGACUGGGAUAACUUCGGGAAGCCGGAGCUAAUACCGGAUAAUAUAUUGAACCGCAUGGUUCAAUAGUGAAAGACGGUUUUGCUGUCACUUAUAGAUGGAUCCGCGCCGCAUUAGCUAGUUGGUAAGGUAACGGCUUACCAAGGCAACGAUGCGUAGCCGACCUGAGAGGGUGAUCGGCCACACUGGAACUGAGACACGGUCCAGACUCCUACGGGAGGCAGCAGUAGGGAAUCUUCCGCAAUGGGCGAAAGCCUGACGGAGCAACGCCGCGUGAGUGAUGAAGGUCUUCGGAUCGUAAAACUCUGUUAUUAGGGAAGAACAAAUGUGUAAGUAACUAUGCACGUCUUGACGGUACCUAAUCAGAAAGCCACGGCUAACUACGUG
rnacentral:rRNA from 1 species